UUUGUCUGAUAGCAGGAAGCCUAUAUCGCUACUGUCUAUAUUGAGCAGCUGUUCUAGGUUAUAAUCUUCCCAUGUUUCAUUGUUUUUGUCUAACGUACGCGUUUUUGUGAAGAUAAAUAUAUAUACAUAAGCAGUAUUUUUGGGUAUCUUUUUUCUUGAAACAAUAUAGAGUGCAUGGCAUUGAGGGGGAAAUUUAGUCCAGAAAGGGACAUUUAAUUUGGAAUCUUGAUAAUGGGGCCCAAAUUAAUGACUGUGCAAAACCAAGAAACGUUUUUCCCAUCAUUUUGGCUUCCAUUCUAG